CGGCGGUUCGAUGUCGACUUGGAGGUUGUGCCCUUGAGGCGUGGCUUCCGGAGCUAACGCGUUAAGUCGACCGCCUGGGGAGUACGGCCGCAAGGUUAAAACUCAAAUGAAUUGACGGGGGCCCGCACAAGCGGUGGAGCAUGUGGUUUAAUUCGAUGCAACGCGAAGAACCUUACCUGGUCUUGACAUCCACGGAAGUUUUCAGAGAUGAGAAUGUGCCUUCGGGAACCGUGAGACAGGUGCUGCAUGGCUGUCGUCAGCUCGUGUUGUGAAAUGUUGGGUUAAGUCCCGCAACGAGCGCAACCCUUAUCCUUUGUUGCCAGCGGUCCGGCCGGGAACUCAAAGGAGACUGCCAGUGAUAAACUGGAGGAAGGUGGGGAUGACGUCAAGUCAUCAUGGCCCUUACGACCAGGGCUACACACGUGCUACAAUGGCGCAUACAAAGAGAAGCGACCUCGCGAGAGCAAGCGGACCUCAUAAAGUGCGUCGUAGUCCGGAUUGGAGUCUGCAACUCGACUCCAUGAAGUCGGAAUCGCUAGUAAUCGUGGAUCAGAAUGCCACGGUGAAUACGUUCCCGGGCCUUGUACACACCGCCCGUCACACCAUGGGAGUGGGUUGCAAAAGAAGUAGGUAGCUUAACCUUCGGGAGGGCGCUUACCACUUUGUGAUUCAUGACUGGGGUGAAGUCGUAAAUGGGGUAAACACAAAAA
rnacentral:rRNA from 1 species